AGUGAACGCUGGCGGUAGGCCUAACACAUGCAAGUCGAACGGCAGCACAGUAAGAGCUUGCUCUUACGGGUGGCGAGUGGCGGACGGGUGAGGAAUACAUCGGAAUCUACUUUUUCGUGGGGGAUAACGUAGGGAAACUUACGCUAAUACCGCAUACGACCUACGGGUGAAAGCAGUGGAUCUUCGGACCUUGCGCGAUUGAAUGAGCCGAUGUCGGAUUAGCUAGUUGGCGGGGUAAAGGCCCACCAAGGCGACGAUCCGUAGCUGGUCUGAGAGGAUGAUCAGCCACACUGGAGCUGAGACACGGUCCAGACUCCUGCGGGAGGCAGCAGUGGGGAAUAUUAGGCAAUGGGCGCAAGCCUGAUCCAGCCAUACCGCGUGGGUGAAGAAGGCCUUCGGGUUGUAAAGCCCUUUUGUUGGGAAAGAAAAGCAGCAGGUUAAGACCCCGCUGUUCUGACGGUACCCAAAGAAUAAGCACCGGCUAACUUCGUG
rnacentral:rRNA from 1 species